rnacentral:rRNA from 1 species
UACAGAGGUCCCAAGCGUUGUUCGAAUUCACUGGGCGUAAAGGGUGCGUAGGUGGCAUGGUAAGUUUGAUGUGAAAUCUCCGGGCUUAACCCGGAAAUGGCAUUGAAUACUACUGUGCUGGAGGUUUGGAGGGGGGACUGGAAUUCUCGGUGUAGCAGUGAAAUGCGUAGAUAUCGAGAGGAACACCAGUGGCGAAGGCGAGUCCCUGGACAACACCUGACACUGAGGCACGAAAGCUAGGGGAGCAAACAGG